CAAUUUUCGUGCAAAUAGAGUCGAACAAAGAAGAAGGUGGCGCAAGAUGGAUUCAGAAUAGGAGAGCUUAAAAGGGCUCGUUUGCGACAAAAGUUACUACUUGCAGGGAGUUCCUUCAUCUCAAUUCAAGAAUGGUUGAAGUUGAGAACCAUUCGUCUCCUCCUUCUGAUCCGGCUCCAACAGAUCCAACAACCCCACAUCCUCAAACUGGGUUCAAUCCCAGCAGAAUGAUUGGUAUCAUCAGAAGGAAGGCCAUGAUAAAAGACUUAGCUGCUAUAUACCAUGCAGAAUGCCUUGCAUAUUGUCAAGAACUUUUGGAACUUCAAAAAAAAGCAGAAGAGUCAUUAAUUGAAAUGAAAGCUGCAGAAGAGUCAAGGAGAGAAACAAUGAGGCCCCCAAAACGUAUGAAGAAAGCCCGUUAGCACCUAAUCAAACGUGCCAUCAUCUUCGACUCAACAUUAACUCUAGCCAGUCUUCAUUACUCCGGAUAUCAGGACCUAGAACAAGACGAAAGAAUUCGGAAAGGGAAGUAUCAACUUUCUUAGGAGGAUUCAAACCUGGUUUUGAGGUAAGUAAUGGAUUAAUUUAAUGUUUUUGUUAUGUAUGUUAGUAUUUGAAUCAUUGUAAUGCAUGUGUGCAUGCGAAUUUUGUACUCAUGAUAACAUCUAAUUCAAAUGAGUAUGAAUAAAUGACUAUAAUCCAUGAAUCAA